rnacentral:tRNA from 1 species
GACCCGGAGGAGCCGGUGCUGCCGCCGCGCCGGCCGGCCGACGAGUGAGGCCCCGUUCGGCGGUGGCGUCCGGUUCGUCGCCGGGCCG